rnacentral:rRNA from 1 species
UACAGAGGUCUCAAGCGUUGUUCGGAUUCAUUGGGCGUAAAGGGUGCGUAGGCGGCGCGGUAAGUCGGGUGUGAAAUCUCGGAGCUUAACUCCGAAACUGCAUUCGAUACUGCGGUGCUUGAGGACUGGAGAGGAGACUGGAAUUUACGGUGUAGCGGUGAAAUGCGUAGAGAUCGUAAGGAAGACCAGUGGCGAAGGCGGGUCUCUGGACAGUUCCUGACACUGAGGCACGAAGGCCAGGGGAGCAAACGGG